rnacentral:rRNA from 1 species
GUCUAUGGCCAUGCCAUCCUGAACAAGCCCGAGUCUGAUUUUGGAAGCUAAGGAAGGUCGGGCCUGGUUAGUACUUGGAUGGGAGACCACCUAGGAAGACCAGGUGCUGUAGGCA